rnacentral:misc_RNA from 1 species
UACGGAGGGUGCAAGCGUUGUUCGGAAUUACUGGGCGUAAAGCGCACGUAGGCGGGUUUGUAAGUCAAUUGUGAAAGCCCCGGGCUCAACCCGGGAACAGCAGUUGAAACUGCAAAUCUUGAAUACCUGAGAGGGUGGGGGAAUUGCUGGUGGAGAAGUGAAAUUCGUAGAUAUCAGCAGGAACACCUGAGGCGAAGGCGCCUGCCUGGCAGUGUAUUGACGCUGAGGUGCGAAAGCGUGGGGAGCAAACAGG